AGGACGAACGCUGGCGGCGUGCUUAACACAUGCAAGUGGAGCGACGAACCAGGGCUUGCCCUGGGGCAGAGCCGCGAACGGGUGAGUAACACGUGGGUUACCUGCCUCGAUGACCGGGACAACCCGAGGAAACUCGGGCUAAUACCGGAUGUGCCCGCAAGGGGAAAGGAAGCUUCGGCCUCCGCAUCGAGAUGGGCCCGCGGCCCAUUAGCUUGUUGGUGAGGUAACGGCUCACCAAGGCUUUGAUGGGUAGCUGGUCUGAGAGGACGAUCAGCAACACUGGGACUGAGACACGGCCCAGACUCCUACGGGAGGCAGCAGUGGGGAAUCUUGCGCAAUGCGCGAAAGCGUGACGCAGCAACGCCGCGUGGGGGAAGAAGGCUUUCGGGUUGUAAACCCCUUUCAGUUGGGACGAAGCCUCAUCGGUGAAUAGCCGCGUGGGGUGACGGUACCUUCACAAGAAGCACCGGCUAACUACGUGCCAGCAGCCGCGGU
rnacentral:rRNA from 1 species